rnacentral:lncRNA from 1 species
ACUAAGAAAAAUUGAAGAGGUGCCAUGGGAAUGGAAGAGACACUACAGAAUACUGAGAUGUUAAGUAAUGUGAUGAUAGAAGAUUGUAGCAAGGAUGAGUUUUCAAGAAACCAAGUGAGAGAGGAAACAAAUAUAGCAGUGAUUGAAAUUGGACAUAAGAUGAACAGGUUAUUUCUCCUAAAAGAGACACUUGCUGGGCAGAUAAAUUCAGUGUAAAGGAAGAAUUAAAACUUCAGAAGAGAGAGGAUAAAUUUAUCAGUGGAUAAGGGAAUGAUAGGGAUUGGGGUGUAGAUUUUAAAUAGUAGGUUUAGUCCCAAAGAAUGAAACUAAUACUUGUAUUUUGAGCUGAGAGGAGAGGAUGGGGCUGUGUGCAAAUAAAUACAAGAGUGUAUGUAUGCAUUGGGGGUGCUGAGGAAUCAGUAAGUAUUUUUUUUUUUGCCUUUUUCCCUGAUUUCAGAACAAAAAGAAGAUGGCAAUGGAGGAGAAAGGUGAAGACAGAAAUGCAUCUUUCUCCAUCAUGCCCUUCUGCCAUGAUAUUUUCAUCUUGGAGUCAGCCAACCAUGGACUGAAUCUCUUGAAACUGUGACCCAAAUCCAAUGUUUCUUUCUUUAACUUUCCGUGUCUUCUGGACAAGAUUUACAGAGCUCUGCUUAUUUGGAUGAAAAAUAGAGAGAGACAAGCUGUCAGUAUAAGUUUGCUCCAAGCUCUUCUUGUACAUUUCCAUUCCCAGAUCAAUAAUCUGUACUUUCAGGGGAUGAAGGAUGCACAGGUAAUGGGGGAAAAAAUAAGAACCAAGAUACAUCAUGUACAGGUACAAGCACCCAAUGAUAAAUGUAAACAUAUUGUAUACCUAAAAUGUACCAGUAAAAGAAUUAAAAAAAUUAAUCUGUACUUUCUUCAGGAAGCUCUGGUUCAUUUUAUUGGAGAAUAGAAUAGAAACUAAUUUCUAGAUACUAAUGGUGCUAGUUGUUACUAAGUUAUAUUCCCAUGUUGUCUCUCAGCUCUAAGGACAAGAAUGUAUACAUGUAUAUACUAACCUAUGUUCUACAUAUAUGUGUAAAUAUUCCUAUCAGUAGCCAUUUCUGUAUUUAUUAAAUUAAACAUGAGUUCAUGGUGUUGGCUCCAAUUACAGCCCCUUAAAAUUGGGAGCAUUCAAGCUUCAUUUUGCUAACCUGUAAAUUCCCACUCUAACAGUGCAAAAUCUGGGCAUCCAGUUGUACAACUUGUUACUUGUUUACUUUAUUUUAAAUUCCAGUGCACAUUCAUAGUCGUGUCAUGACUGUUAGCUUGUACUGCCAUGGGACACAGCUCUGUGAACUAAAAACAGGACUGAUGCAGAGUUCUUUGUGCCUUUAGUCUUACAGAUUCCACUCUUUUCUAAUGUUACUUAGGUCAUUUCCUUUCUCCCAUUCUCUUCCUUUAGGUCCUUCCAUACAUUUGAAAUAUGAUUACAUUGUCUUGUCACAGUCUGCAUUCUUUCCAGGAAUUCCCUUACCUCCUAAAUAAUUUAUUAAAAUUUUCAUACAUCAUAAUUUGUUCCUUGUGCUUUAAUGCACUGUAGAUUGUGACAAUGUGUAAUGACCAUGUUUCUGAUUACAAUAUUAUGCAGAAUAAAUUUUUCACCCUAAAAAUGCUCUGAGUUUCACUUAUUCACUUCUUUUGUUCCCAAACUCCUAGCAAUUGCUGAUCUUUUUACCAAUUCUAUAAUUUUUCAUGUUCCAGAAUGCCAUUUAUUUGGAACUGUGCAGAAUAUAGACUUUGGCAUGGUCUUAUUUCACUUGACAGUAUUCCUUUGCUUGUUGUAGUUAUUCUCAACUAAUAUCUGUUUGUAUGGAUAUAUCAUAGUUUGUUUGUUCAUUUACUGAUUAAAGGGAUAUUGGCGGCAUUUAGAUUUUAAUUGAUUAUGAAUAAAACCAGUAUUCAUGUAAAGAAAGUUUUUGUGGGCAUAAAAUUUUAACUCAUUUGUUCAAAUACCUAGCAACAUUAUUGAGAGGUCAUAUAUAAGUCUAUGCAUAGCUUUGUAAAAAAAUUUGUAGAAGCAAUUAUAAAAUAGCUGUGUUAUUUUGCAUUCUCGCUGGAAAUAAAUGAGUUUUUCUUUUGUUUUAUCUUCAUCAGAAUUUGACAUUGUCAGAUUUUUGGAUUUAGUCAUACUAAUAGGUUUAUAG